rnacentral:rRNA from 1 species
AUGCACCCAAGUGGAGAUACCCCGUUGAUGGCUAUCAAGUUUCUCUCUUGUGUGGCGAAUGUCUUGACAAAUUACCUUGGAGAUAUAAAUGAAGACACAAUCAAUGAUAACUUUGUAAUUGUUUAUCAGAUUCUAGAUGAAAUGAUGGACAAUGGCUUUCCACUCACUACCGAGCCGAACAUCUUAAAGGAGUUGGUUGCCCAACCAAAUAUGGUCAGCAAAAUGCUGAACAUUAUGACUGGUAAAAGUUCUACUAUUGGUAACAAACUUCCGGAUGCAACUGCUUCCUUUGUACCUUGGAGAGCAAGAAUUGUCAAGGAUGCAAGCAAUGGGGUCCAUGUUAACAUAGUUGAGGAACUAGAUGCAUGUGUGAAUAGAGAAGGGGUUCUAGUGAAAUGUGAGACAUGUGGUGUAAUUGAAGUGAAUUCCAGUCUUCCAGGAUUACCAGAAUGGACCUUGUCAUUUGCUAAUCCCACCCUUAUCAAUGGUGUGAGGUUACACUCAUGUGUCAGAUUCAGACCGUAG